GAUGAACGCUGGCGGCGUGCCUAAUACAUGCAAGUCGAGCGAACAGACGAGGAGCUUGCUCCUCUGACGUUAGCGGCGGACGGGUGAGUAACACGUGGAUAACCUACCUAUAAGACUGGGAUAACUUCGGGAAACCGGAGCUAAUACCGGAUAAUAUAUUGAACCGCAUGGCUCAAUAGUGAAAGACGGUUUUGCUGUCACUUAUAGAUGGAUCCGCGCCGCAUUAGCUAGUUGGUAAGGUAACGGCUUACCAAGGCAACGAUGCGUAGCCGACCUGAGAGGGUGAUCGGCCACACUGGAACUGAGACACGGUCCAGACUCCUACGGGAGGCAGCAGUAGGGAAUCUUCCGCAAUGGGCGAAAGCCUGACGGAGCAACGCCGCGUGAGUGAUGAAGGUCUUCGGAUCGUAAAACUCUGUUAUUAGGGAAGAACAAAUGUGUAAGUAACUAUGCACGUCUUGACGGUACCUAAUCAGAAAGCCACGGCUAACUACGUG
rnacentral:rRNA from 1 species